rnacentral:rRNA from 1 species
AAAAGAAACUAACAAGGAUUCCCCUAGUAACGGCGAGUGAAGAGGGAAGAGCUCAAAUUUGAAAGCUGGUACCUUCGGUAUCCGCGUUGUAACCUCGAGACACGUUUUCCGUGCGGCGCUAUGGACAAGUUCCUUGGAACAGGACAUCGUAGAGGGUGAAAAUCCCGUACUUGCCAUGGAUGUACCGUGCUUUGCGAUACGUGCUCUAAGAGUCGAGUUGUUUGGGAUUGCAGCUCAAAAUGGGUGGUAGACUCCAUCUAAAGCUAAAUAUCGGGGAGAGACCGAUAGCGAACAAGUACCGUGAGGGAAAGAUGAAAAGCACUUUGGAAAGAGAGUUAAAAGUACGUGAAAUUGUCGAAAGGGAAGCGCUUGAAGUCAGCCAUGCCGCUCAGGACUCAGCCUGGCUUUUGCUUGGUGUAUUUCCUGGGUAGCAAGUCAGCAUUGGUUUGGAUCGUCGGAGAAGCAUAGUCGGAAUGUGGCGCCCUCGGGCGUGUUAUAGCCUUCUAUUGGAUACGACGAUCUAGACCAAGGAACGCAGCGCGCCUUAUGGCGGGUCUUCGGACACCUUCGCGCUAGGAU